rnacentral:misc_RNA from 1 species
AAGUCGUAACAAGGUUUCCGUAGGUGAACCUGCGGAAGGAUCAUCAUUGAAUCUAUAUUUACAAACCCUUUGUGAACUGUACGUGUAGAGAUUGCUUGGCAGGAUCAUUGUCGCCUUUGACUUUGUUCAAAUGUCUACAGUGCCUGCCAACUUUCUCGCUUUUUAACAAACUUUUAAACCACAAACUGAUAAAAUAUUUUUAAUUAAAACAACUUUCAACAAUGGAUCUCUUGGUUCUC